GUCGAGAAUAGUCUACAAUGGACGGAAGUCUGAUAGUGCGACGCCGCGUGAACGAAGAAUCCCUUCGGGGUGUAAAGUUCUUUUAUACGUGAGCAGUGUCCUUUAUAUUAAUAGUAUAAGGGGAGAGAUAUUAGCGUAUGAAUAAGCAACGGCUAACUCCGUGCCAGCAGCCGCGGUAACACGGGGGUUGCGAGCGUUGUCCGGAAUUACUAGGCGUAAAGUGCAGGUAGGCGGAUAAAUAAGUUUAAGGUUAAAGGCUACGGCUUAACCGUAGUAAAGCGUUAGAUACUGUUUAUCUGGAAUGCGGUUGAGGGAGACAGAAUUCCUGGUGUAGCGGUGGAAUGCGCAGAGAUCAGGAGGAAUACCGAAGGCGAAGGCAGUCUUCUAAGCCGAUAUUGACGCUAAACUGCGAAGGUGUGGGGAUCAAACAGGAUUAGAUACCCGAGUAGUCC
rnacentral:rRNA from 1 species